rnacentral:rRNA from 1 species
GCAGUCGAGCGGAUGAAGGGAGCUUGCUCCUGGAUUCAGCGGCGGACGGGUGAGUAAUGCCUAGGAAUCUGCCUGGUAGUGGGGGAUAACGUCCGGAAACGGGCGCUAAUACCGCAUACGUCCUGAGGGAGAAAGUGGGGGAUCUUCGGACCUCACGCUAUCAGAUGAGCCUAGGUCGGAUUAGCUAGUUGGUGGGGUAAAGGCCUACCAAGGCGACGAUCCGUAACUGGUCUGAGAGGAUGAUCAGUCACACUGGAACUGAGACACGGUCCAGACUCCUACGGGAGGCAGCAGUGGGGAAUAUUGGACAAUGGGCGAAAGCCUGAUCCAGCCAUGCCGCGUGUGUGAAGAAGGUCUUCGGAUUGUAAAGCACUUUAAGUUGGGAGGAAGGGCAGUAAGUUAAUACCUUGCUGUUUUGACGUUACCAACAGAAUAAGCACCGGCUAACUUCGUGCCAGCAGCCGCGGUAAUACGAAGGGUGCAAGCGUUAAUCGGAAUUACUGGGCGUAAAGCGCGCGUAGGUGGUUCAGCAAGUUGGAUGUGAAAUCCCCGGGCUCAACCUGGGAACUGCAUCCAAAACUACUGAGCUAGAGUACGGUAGAGGGUGGUGGAAUUUCCUGUGUAGCGGUGAAAUGCGUAGAUAUAGGAAGGAACACCAGUGGCGAAGGCGACCACCUGGACUGAUACUGACACUGAGGUGCGAAAGCGUGGGGAGCAAAC